rnacentral:rRNA from 1 species
AACGAACGCUGGCGGCGUGCCUAACACAUGCAAGUCGAGCGAGAAAGCCCGCAAGGGUGAGUAAAGCGGCGCACGGGUGCGUAACACGUGGGUAAUCUGCCCUAGAGUCCGGAAUAACUCGCCGAAAGGCGUGCUAAUGCCGGAUGAGACCACGGGAGCCUCGGCUCUCGCGGGAAAAGGUGGCCUCUGUACACAAGCUAUCGCUCUAGGAUGAGCCCGCGGCCCAUCAGCUCGUUGGCGGGGUAAUGGCCCACCAAGGCUACGACGGGUAGCUGGUCUGAGAGGACGAUCAGCCACACUGGAACUGAGACACGGUCCAGACUCCUACGGGAGGCAGCAGUGGGGAAUCUUGCGCAAUGGGCGAAAGCCUGACGCAGCAACGCCGCGUGUGUGAUGAAGGUCUUCGGAUCGUAAAGCACUGUCGCGAGGGACGAAUAAGGGUCGGGCUAACAUCCCGGUCCGAUGACGGUACCUCGAGAGGAAGCACCGGCUAACUCUGUGCCAGCAGCCGCGGUAAUACAGAGGGUGCAAGCGUUGUUCGGAAUUAUUGGGCGUAAAGCGCGUGUAGGCGGCUUAGUAAGUUGGGUGUGAAAGCCCUCGGCUUAACCGAGGAAGUGCGCCCAAAACUGCUUGGCUUGAGUACCGGAGAGGGUGGCGGAAUUCCCGGUGUAGAGGUGAAAUUCGUAGAUAUCGGGAGGAACACCAGUGGCGAAGGCGGCCACCUGGACGGUCACUGACGCUGAGACGCGAAAGCGUGGGGAGCAAACAGGAUUAGAUACCCUGGUAGUCCACGCUGUAAACGAUGAGCGCUAGGUGUUGUGGGUGUUGACCCCCGCAGUGCCGCAGCUAACGCAUUAAGCGCUCCGCCUGGGAAGUACGACCGCAAGGCUAA